GUGGGGAAUAUUGGACAAUGGGGGAAACCCUUAUCCAGCGACGCCGCGUGAGGGAAGAAGGUUUUCGGAUUGUAAACCUCUGUCAGCGGGGACGAUAAUGACGGUACCCGCGGAGGAAGCCACGGCUAACUACGUGCCAGCAGCCGCGGUAAUACGUAGGUGGCAAGCGUUGUCCGGAAUUACUGGGUGUAAAGGGAGCGUAGGCGGGGUAUCAAGUCAGAAGUGAAAAUUACGGGCUCAACUCGUAACCUGCUUUUGAAACUGAUACUCUUGAGUGAAGUAGAGGCAAGCGGAAUUCCUAGUGUAGCGGUGAAAUGCUUAGAUAUUAGGAGGAACACCAGUGGCGAAGGCGGCUUGCUGGGCUUUUACUGACGCUGAGGCUCGAAAGCGUGGGGAGCAAACAGGA
rnacentral:rRNA from 1 species